GGGAGAUGUUGUGCUGAAUCAUCGGUGUGCACAUAAACAGAGCCCAAAUGGUGUUUGGAACAUUUUUGGUGGCAAGCUUUCUUGGGGUCCUGAGGCAAUUGUUUGCGAUGAUCCAAAUUUUCAGGGUCGUGGAAACCCUUCUAGUGGUGAUAUAUUCCAUGCUGCACCAAACAUCGAUCAUUCCCAGGAGUUUGUAAGAAAAGAUAUAAAAGAGUGGUUAAAUUGGCCUCGAAAUUACAUUGGUUAUGAUGGGUGGCGCCU